CACUUUUAGCCACUGGAAUCCAGAGAAGGAACUUCGUGGCUCUUUUCUCCUAGUGAAGGGGGGUCAUGCCACUGAAACUUUCUCUGAGAACCUGCGAGCAAGGAGUCGCUAGCAAUCAGCUCUGUUAAUAAUUUAUAUAUCUUUGAAUCUUUCUUUAGAAAAUAUGGCUUCUUCCUAAUAUACAGAAUAAGCUGGACUCAGAAAACCUUUUUUAUAUCUAAAAUGUCAGAAGAUUAGAGAAGAAAUUCAUCAGUGAAUGUUUCACUCAGUGGCCCCAUCUAAUGAACCUCCUAUAAGGAAGAUGACAUCAGAACAAGUUAAGAGCAUGUGUGCCUAAUGCAUGAAAGACUGUGGGACGUUUAUCCACCACCUCUAUUAAAGAUCUGUAAGCAGUGUACUGAAAGAAAGAUCUCUAUAUUCAAUCGACUGAAUAUUUCUGUGUCAUCAAGCAUUAAAGGUAAAAGUUUUUCAUUCAAGAAUAACAAAACAGUACCUAUCAAAGUACAAUCCUCAACCAGAUGAAUUCUGUGGCAAAACUAACAUGUCAAAACAAACAUUGAUCUAACCAGUUCAGACUUCGUUCAGACUUAUUCUGACUUAUUCUGACCAGUUCAGACUUAGUUCAGUCUACUGUAAGAUAUUACAAGUCGUAUUUUGAAGUGAGUGGGUGACUCUCAUUGUAACUUCUUGUCCAAAGCUGCAUGAUGUACAUACUUUUUCCCCAAAGCUCAGCAUAUUCACUGCUGAAUACUUCAGAAAUCUGGCUAUUUUUUGGGUGAAAUAAAUAAAAGAUGAACUCUCUUUAAAAA